UCUGUGCCACUUGCCCAAAAGGCGCGCC
rnacentral:piRNA from 1 species